ACGAGCAAAAUCAUGUCUACAAGCGGACCUGCGUGGGCGACUAUGUUGUGCACAGCGUAAAGCGUAUCUUAUCAUAUUUUGUUUGUCUGUGUUUAUUUCUGAUGCAGGCAGAGGCAUGGAUCAAGGGCAAACUGCAGGAUCUGAAGGAUGGCUGUAAUAUUCAGCGCUGCCCCCUGCAGGACUGGGAGGAAGCCUCGCAGACGCUUCAGAGGGACCUCAAAGACUUUGAGAACACACUAAUUCAACUCAACCAGGUAAAACAACAAAAAAAAGAUUCGACACAAGGCCGGGCACUAACUGAAAUAUUGUUAGCCUGUGUUACUAGAACAGGGAACCCACAUCCAAAAGUAAAUAAUUAUUUAGGAUCUGAAUGGGACCAUUAAUCACUGUCCUUGUUGCUAAAAGAGUCUGUCAGCUCACUUGACACACAACAUAAUGCUCUCGGAGGCAUUUCCAGUCGACCGGAGAAAAAAGCGGAGCCUCAGUUUUCCAGAAGGCUCUGUCGAGCCAGUUUCAUACUUUCUCCCUCCGGAGAGAAUGUUUGGAAACGGUACAAUGCUGAUAAUUAACCUCGCCUGACACCCAGACAGGCCAGGAAGCAGAUACAGAAGAAGCAGAUUUUUUUCUAGGGGUUUGUCGUAGGCGUGAUGGCCGUUUCCCAACAGUUAUGAAGCAAUGGCUCUGACAAAGUGUCCGAGUCGCUGUUGUAUGUCAGUCUGUGCUGCACCGAAUAUGAACUGUGACAUGUUCCGAAAGAUGGGUGAGCAGUUGAUCUGCAAGCUGAACCCUACAUCCGACGCGGUGAAGAAGCAGCUCGGCCUGCUCAGGGACCAGUGGCAGACCCUCAAACACACGGCUGCAAAUCAGACGAGGGCCCUCGGGGGAGCCAAGAACCUGCAGGAGUUCAACAAAAAAGUGGACGAGCUGGAGGCGUGGAUUAAAGAGAAGCAGGAAGAGGAGCAGUCUCUGGGGAAUGUCUUGGGGGGAAAUGUUGACAAAAUGCAGCUGACAAGGAGAAUAUUAGAUCUGAAACAGGUGAGCGUUAUAAAGGAACGAGCAAAAGAACUAUUAAUAAUUAACAGAGAAACAAUACACAUGCUAAACCACAUUCUGGAGAUAAACCUAUACACAUUCCCACAUGUGAACGGUUUAUAUUGUAUUUUCUUCAGACGUUACCGAGUAAUUUAUCUUUGGCUGACUGUAAUUUGUCUCCCGGGGGGGUGUAUGGUAAAGACAGGUGAGGUCAUAGUUGGCUUGUGUUCCCCCGUGUCCAUGCAGGAUGAGCUGCUGUACAGAAACCUCCACGAGGAGAUCAACCACUUGGCCCUAAAACUGGAGAAACAAGGGAAGACAGAUGGCAAAAACAUCUCCACCCGGAGGAAGCACAUCAAUAAAAUGUGGCUCAAGGUCCAGUCUCAUCUGAAAAACUACCAUGAAAAUCUUCAGCUGGCUCUGGAGGUGUCCUCCUUCUACCAGCAGGCCGAUAACACGCUGGUCGCAAUAAACAAUAUGAGCAAAAGCAUAUGUGCGUCCAAAGAAUGGGACGGCUUCGGAGACAGAGAAAUCCGUGACAUUGCCAGUCAAAUCAUGAUGCUUGACGUGAGCGUGUCCCAGCUGUCGAAUCUCCAUCCUGCCCUGGCCACUGGCGUGACGCAGAAGCAGAGUGAGGUGAAGGACUGCUGGGCAAUUCUUCAUAAAGUUUUCAGGUAA
ensembl:lncRNA